UUUCCCCUGCGGUGCUCGUGAGGAGUGGCAUUCUCCUGAGCCGAUACUCAUGAACCUAGGAAACCUGCUCUGAUCGUGGAGUGCAUGCUCUCUUUAUGGGAGAUCCGCAGAAGCGAUUAUCUCGGGAGUCCGCCUUUAACGAAGGGUUCAGAGAAAGCACACCCACGGUACAGGUGGGGGAUUU
rnacentral:other from 1 species